UGAGGAAUAUUGGACAAUGGGCGCAAGCCUGAUCCAGCCAUGCCGCGUGCAGGAUGACGGUCCUAUGGAUUGUAAACUGCUUUUGUACAGGAAGAAACAGUUCUACGUGUAGAACCUUGACGGUACUGUAAGAAUAAGGAUCGGCUAACUCCGUGCCAGCAGCCGCGGUAAUACGGAGGAUCCAAGCGUUAUCCGGAAUCAUUGGGUUUAAAGGGUCCGUAGGCGGUUAGAUAAGUCAGUGGUGAAAGCCCAUCGCUCAACGGUGGAACGGCCAUUGAUACUGUCUGACUUGAAUUAUUAGGAAGUAACUAGAAUAUGUAGUGUAGCGGUGAAAUGCUUAGAGAUUACAUGGAAUACCAAUUGCGAAGGCAGGUUACUACUAAUGGAUUGACGCUGAUGGACGAAAGCCAGGGGAGCGAACGGGAUUAGAUACCCUCGUAGUCCCUGAGCGGGCUGGCAAGGCGCAU
rnacentral:rRNA from 1 species